AUUGAACGCUGGCGGCAUGCCUAACACAUGCAAGUCGAGCGCGCGGCGGACGGGUGCGUAAUGUAUGGGGAUAUGCCCGUUAGCGGGGGAUAACUACUGGAAACGGUAGCUAAUACCGCCUACUAUGCGAUGCCCCCAUAUGGGAUUAGCUAGUCGGUGGGGUAAUGGCUCACCUAGGCGACGAUCCCUAGCUGGGCUGAGAGGAUGAUCAGCCACACUGGGACUGAGACACGGCCCAGACUCCUACGGGAGGCAGCAGUGGGGAAUAGUGCACAAUGGGCGCAAGCCUGAUGCAGCCAUGCCGCGUGUAUGAAGAAGGCCUUCGGGUUGUAAAGUACUUUUGGCAGAGAAGCGGUAUCUGCAGAAUAAGCACCGGCUAACUACGUGCCAGCAGCCGCGGUAAUAC
rnacentral:rRNA from 1 species